rnacentral:rRNA from 1 species
AUUGAACGCUGGCGGCAGGCCUAACACAUGCAAGUCGAGCGAGCGGCGGACGGGUGAGUAAUGUCUGGGAAACUGCCUGAUGGAGGGGGAUAACUACUGGAAACGGUAGCUAAUACCGCAUACCAUCAGAUGUGCCCAGAUGGGAUUAGCUAGUAGGUGGGGUAACGGCUCACCUAGGCGACGAUCCCUAGCUGGUCUGAGAGAAUGACCAGCCACAAUGAAACUUAGACACGGUCCAGACUCCUACGGGAAGAAGCAGUGGGGAAUAUUGAACAAGGGGCGCAAGCCUGAUGCAGCCAUGCCGCGUGUGUGAAGAAGGCCUUCGGGUUGUAAAGCACUUUAAGCAGGGAGGCGUUACCCGCAGAAGAAGCACCGGCUAACUCCGUGCCAGCAGCCGCGGUAAUUC